UAUAUAAAAAAUAUUUGGUAAGUCACUAAAAAGCUAAACCCAAUAAAUAAUUUAGGAGCGCAUUAGAGAAUCAUAUGAAAAUUCUAUAUUGGGCUGAACCCCACAACAUUGUCUUCAUCCAUUCACAUAUUGAAUGAUUUUUUUUAUUUAUUUAAUGAAAAGAUAAAUGCUUUUUUCUUCCGUACAUAUAAUUUUAGAAGAGAUCUUGUCUUUUCUCCGUCUCUAAACAUACACCCAAAAAAAACUCAAAUGGUUGUUCGUAAUCAUUCAUAAAAU
rnacentral:sRNA from 1 species